GGUUAAGCGACUAAGCGUACACGGUGGAUGCCCUGGCAGUCAGAGGCGAUGAAGGACGUGCUAAUCUGCGAAAAGCGUCGGUAAGGUGAUAUGAACCGUUACAGCCGGCGAUGUCCGAAUGGGGAAACCCAGUGCAAUUCGUUGCACUAUCGUUAACUGAAUACAUAGGUUAACGAGGCGAACCGGGGGAACUGAAACAUCUAAGUACCCCGAGGAAAAGAAAUCAACCGAGAUUCCCCCAGUAGCGGCGAGCGAACGGGGAGCAGCCCAGAGUCUGAAUCAGCUUGUGUGUUAGUGGAACGGUCUGGAAAGUCCGACGGUACAGGGUGAUAGUCCCGUACACCAAAAUGCACAGGCUGUGAACUCGAAGAGUAGGGCGGGACACGUGGUAUCCUGUCUGAAUAUGGGGGGACCAUCCUCCAAGGCUAAAUACUCCUGACUGACCGAUAGUGAACCAGUACCGUGAGGGAAAGGCGAAAAGAACCCCGGCGAGGGGAGUGAAAAAGAACCUGAAACCGUGUACGUACAAGCAGUGGGAGCACCUUCGGGUGUGACUGCGUACCUUUUGUAUAAUGGGUCAGCGACUUAUAUUCUGUAGCAAGGUUAACCGUAUAGGGGAGCCGCAGGGAAACCGAGUCUUAACUGGGCGUUAAGUUGCAGGGUAUAGACCCGAAACCCGGUGAUCUAGCCAUGGGCAGGUUGAAGGUUGGGUAACACUAACUGGAGGACCGAACCGACUAAUGUUGAAAAAUUAGCGGAUGACUUGUGGCUGGGGGUGAAAGGCCAAUCAAACCGGGAGAUAGCUGGUUCUCCCCGAAAGCUAUUUAGGUAGCGCCUCGUGAAUUCAUCUUCGGGGGUAGAGCACUGUUUCGGCUAGGGGGUCAUCCCGACUUACCAACCCGAUGCAAACUACGAAUACCGAAGAAUGUUAUCACGGGAGACACACGGCGGGUGCUAACGUCCGUCGUGAAGAGGGAAACAACCCAGACCGCCAGCUAAGGUCCCAAAGUCAUGGUUAAGUGGGAAACGAUGUGGGAAGGCACAGACAGCCAGGAUGUUGGCUUAGAAGCAGCCAUCAUUUAAAGAAAGCGUAAUAGCUCACUGGUCGAGUCGGCCUGCGCGGAAGAUGUAACGGGGCUAAACCAUGCACCGAAGCUGCGGCAGCGACACUAUGUGUUGUUGGGUAGGGGAGCGUUCUGUAAGCCUGCGAAGGUGACCUGUGAGGGUUGCUGGAGGUAUCAGAAGUGCGAAUGCUGACAUAAGUAACGAUAAAGCGGGUGAAAAGCCCGCUCGCCGGAAGACCAAGGGUUCCUGUCCAACGUUAAUCGGGGCAGGGUGAGUCGACCCCUAAGGCGAGGCCGAAAGGCGUAGUCGAUGGGAAACAGGUUAAUAUUCCUGUACUUGGUGUUACUGCGAAGGGGGGACGGAGAAGGCUAUGUUAGCCGGGCGACGGUUGUCCCGGUUUAAGCAUGUAGGCUGAUUGUCCAGGCAAAUCCGGAUAAUCAAGGCUGAGGUGUGAUGACGAGGCACUACGGUGCUGAAGUAACAAAUGCCCUGCUUCCAGGAAAAGCCUCUAAGCAUCAGGUAACAUCAAAUCGUACCCCAAACCGACACAGGUGGUCAGGUAGAGAAUACCAAGGCGCUUGAGAGAACUCGGGUGAAGGAACUAGGCAAAAUGGUGCCGUAACUUCGGGAGAAGGCACGCUGGUGUGUAGGUGAAGCCCCUGCGGGUGGAGCUGAGACCAGUCGAAGAUACCAGCUGGCUGCAACUGUUUAUUAAAAACACAGCACUGUGCAAACACGAAAGUGGACGUAUACGGUGUGACGCCUGCCCGGUGCCGGAAGGUUAAUUGAUGGGGUUAUCCGUAAGGAGAAGCUCUUGAUCGAAGCCCCGGUAAACGGCGGCCGUAACUAUAACGGUCCUAAGGUAGCGAAAUUCCUUGUCGGGUAAGUUCCGACCUGCACGAAUGGCGUAAUGAUGGCCAGGCUGUCUCCACCCGAGACUCAGUGAAAUUGAACUCGCUGUGAAGAUGCAGUGUACCCGCGGCAAGACGGAAAGACCCCGUGAACCUUUACUAUAGCUUGACACUGAACAUUGAGCCUUGAUGUGUAGGAUAGGUGGGAGGCUUUGAAGCGUGGACGCCAGUCUGCGUGGAGCCAACCUUGAAAUACCACCCUUUAAUGUUUGAUGUUCUAACGUUGGCCCCUUACCGGGGUUGCGGACAGUGUCUGGUGGGUAGUUUGACUGGGGCGGUCUCCUCCCAAAGCGUAACGGAGGAGCACGAAGGUUAGCUAAUCCUGGUCGGACAUCAGGAGGUUAGUGCAAUGGCAUAAGCUAGCUUGACUGCGAGCGUGACGGCGCGAGCAGGUGCGAAAGCAGGUCAUAGUGAUCCGGUGGUUCUGAAUGGAAGGGCCAUCGCUCAACGGAUAAAAGGUACUCCGGGGAUAACAGGCUGAUACCGCCCAAGAGUUCAUAUCGACGGCGGUGUUUGGCACCUCGAUGUCGGCUCAUCACAUCCUGGGGCUGAAGUAGGUCCCAAGGGUAUGGCUGUUCGCCAUUUAAAGUGGUACGCGAGCUGGGUUUAGAACGUCGUGAGACAGUUCGGUCCCUAUCUGCCGUGGGCGCUGGAGAAUUGAGGGGGGCUGCUCCUAGUACGAGAGGACCGGAGUGGACGCAUCACUGGUGUUCGGGUUGUCAUGCCAAUGGCACUGCCCGGUAGCUAAAUGCGGAAGAGAUAAGUGCUGAAAGCAUCUAAGCACGAAACUUGCCCCGAGAUGAGUUCUCCCUGAGACUUUAAGUCUCCUGAAGGAACGUUAAAGACGAUGACGUUGAUAGGCCGGGUGUGUAAGCGCAGCGAUGCGUUGAGCUAACCGGUACUAAUGAACCGUGAGGCUUAACCUU
rnacentral:rRNA from 1 species